UUUUAGGGAGACCAUCUGAUACUCGACCGAACCUAAACAAUAGGUCAAUAUCAGUCAUCCCUGGUCGUUCGAGGUAUAGAUGUCAAAGCUUUCAAACUAUUAACUGGUUCGGAACUCGCGGGCUAUUAGCUCAGUUGGUUAGAGCGCACCCCUGAUAAGGGUGAGGUCCCUGGUUCAAAUCCAGGAUGGCCCACCUGGAAAAAAAGUGAUGAAUUGUAAGUAAGGAGUAAUGGAUAAUCAAUGAUUAAUUCAGGACUCAUACAAUCAAAAUCAGAACUUGCUUAGUGGGGGUAUAGCUCAGUUGGUAGAGCGCCUGCCUUGCACGCAGGAAGUCAGCGGUUCGAGUCCGCUUACCUCCACUCUCACUAACUAGAACCAACAAAAAAAACAAAAAGAGAUAGAAAUCAGCACCCAGACUAACUUGGUCUUUUGAGAUCAUAGAAGUCGGAAUGCUGGAGUCGAGAACUCUAGUCAGAACCUUGAAAACUGCAUAGAAAUUAAGUCAUCAAAGCGUGUCUAUCAUCCGAUUGCUCGGGAGAUAUGACAAGCGACAACCAUCAAAAGAUUAAGUGGUCAAGUUACAAAGGGCUAACGGU
rnacentral:tRNA from 1 species